UUUCAACUUGAGAGUUUGAUCCUGGCUCAGAACGAACGCUGGCGGCAGGCUUAACACAUGCAAGUCGAGCGGGCCCUUCGGGGUCAGCGGCAGACGGGUGAGUAACGCGUGGGAACGUACCAUUUGCUACGGAAUAACUCAGGGAAACUUGUGCUAAUACCGUAUGAGCCCCCCUUUAAAAUUUCAGGAAUCAUAAAAUGCCCUGGCAUUUUAUGGGGGGGAAAGAUUUAUCGGCAAAUGAUCGGCCCGCGUUGGAUUAGCUAGUUGGUGGGGUAAAGGCCUACCAAGGCGACGAUCCAUAGCUGGUCUGAGAGGAUGAUCAGCCACACUGGGACUGAGACACG
rnacentral:rRNA from 2 species